rnacentral:lncRNA from 1 species
CAACACUGCUAUCAUAAAACUACUAUUUUUAAAAAAUAUUUUUGAGACUAUCAAAAGGCCAAAUUUAUACUUUUUGCUAACAACAGAAUUUCAAAGCAUGAUCAAAGCUGAUUAUUACGCAGAAAACUGGGAAAUCAGCAGCAGCAGACUUUAGGCACAGACAGAAAAAUAAUAAGACAAGCUUAGGCUUUAGGGUAAGAAAAUGUUUUAAAAAUACAUUCAGAUGAGAGGACAACAUAUAUCUGUUUUGUGAAAUCCCUUAUCUUUCUUUCCAUUUUGUAGAUACGAUGGAAAAAAAAUGAGUAAAUUAACCCGCAGCAGUUUGAGUACUUCUUACAUCAUUCACCUUCUCUGAAGGAUUGCCACUUCACUGAUUCUUCCCUUUGUAAUGCUUCCCAUAAAUCUAACUUCCCUUUGAAAAUGAUUUGCUUUCCUGGAUUCCCUUACCUCACCAUUGUAAAGACCUUGAUUAAUUUGAAUUAAAAUACUCAAUACAAAAUGAUUAAUUUGUUUAGCAAUUACAGGUUUUAAUAUCCUGUAGUAUGAUAUAGUUCAAUCUUUCUAAGUUUUGCUACUGACUUCUGUCUCAAAAGGAGAUUUGAAAGUGUGAAAGCUUGAGUUCUUGUGACUCUGAGAAUUUUUAUAUUGG